rnacentral:rRNA from 1 species
GUCUGGGAAACUGCCCGAUGGAGGGGGAUAACUACUGGAAACGGUAGCUAAUACCGCAUAACGUCUUCGGACCAAAGAGGGGGACCUUCGGGCCUCUUGCCAUCGGAUGUGCCCAGAUGGGAUUAGCUAGUAGGUGGGGUAACGGCUCACCUAGGCGACGAUCCCUAGCUGGUCUGAGAGGAUGACCAGCCACACUGGAACUGAGACACGGUCCAGACUCCUACGGGAGGCAGCAGUGGGGAAUAUUGCACAAUGGGCGCAAGCCUGAUGCAGCCAUGCCGCGUGUAUGAAGAAGGCCUUCGGGUUGUAAAGUACUUUCAGCGGGGAGGAAGGGAGUGAGGUUAAUAACCUCACUCAUUGACGUUACCCGCAGAAGAAGCACCGGCUAACUCCGUGCCAGCAGCCGCGGUAAUACGGAGGGUGCAAGCGUUAAUCGGAAUUACUGGGCGUAAAGCGCACGCAGGCGGUCUGUCAAGUCGGAUGUGAAAUCCCCGGGCUCAACCUGGGAACUGCAUUCGAAACUGGCAGGCUUGAGUCUCGUAGAGGGGGGUAGAAUUCCAGGUGUAGCGGUGAAAUGCGUAGAGAUCUGGAGGAAUACCGGUGGCGAAGGCGGCCCCCUGGACGAAGACUGACGCUCAAGUGCGAAAGCGUGCGGAGCAAACAGGAUUAGAUACCCUGGUAGUCCACGCCGUAAACGAUG